ensembl:lncRNA
CUAUUUUGUGUAUCUUGUGCUCCAUAUCAAGAGGCGUCAUCCAUCCAUUAGCUGUUCCUGUUUUAUCUCAUAGAGGGCUGCAGGAGCUGGAGGACACCAGUCCAUCACAGAGCUACACAAAGAAAGACAACCAUUCAUGCUCACACUCACACAUUUAGAAUUGUAGAUUUACCUUCCAUGCAUGUUUGGAUUGCAGGAAGAAGUUGGAGCAUCUGCAGAGAACCCACCCAGGUCCAGAGAGAACAUGAACUCCACACAGACAGAACCAGCAGGACGAAGAAACAGUGAGAGGAACCCCAGGAUGAUCAAAAAUGGAAGAAUUAUGCCAAGAUGAGACGACAAAAAGCCCCAAACAGAAAAAGAAGAGUCAGACCAAAGAAAAGAAAGAAGAACGGCUUUGACUAAUUCCAAAGGCAAAUAUUGGCCUGUGAGAGGGACGUCGUUCCAUACGUCCCUCCUGAUGCCAAUGCUUUCCAGUUCUUCCUGGGGGAUCCUGAGGCAUUCACAGG